CAAUCUAAUAAAACAUGUUAGACAGAUAAGGGAAUCUUACAGAACAUACAUAAAGUGGGGUCUUUUCACCUUUAAGCAAAAAAGCAUGGGUCAAUUUUUAAUGUCCUUAUUAAGAGCUUCAGAAUCUACUAACAUUGUCUGUUUCCCUAACUGUCACUAACUAAUGGGUAACUAUCAUGGAUUAGAUUAUCAUGUCAUUUUUAGGACCCCAAGGCGACAUCUAGUCUGUAGAUAUCUAUGACAGGAGUCGAGCAGCGUUGCGAAGGACGCGUAGGACAUCCGGCUCAGAGACUUAUGCAGCAGAGGAUUAGCUUUAAUCUGUAAAAUAAACAUCCAACAUGUCUAACACUUACACACACUCCAGAAUAUUUACUCAUUUAUAACAAAUUAAUCGUCUAAAUAUUAAUUUAGUAAUACCCAUAAAUCAUCUCCAUAUUUAAAAAUUAAUCACCAAUGUCUUCAAUUUUGGCAAAAAAAAAAAAAAAAAAAAAAUACUGGAAACUUUCCUGCUAAUGUUCUUACAGAGUGAGUAAGUGAAUCACUGAGUGAGUCAAUCAGUGAAUGAAUCAGUAAAUGAGUAAAUGAGUGAAUGAACUAGUAUGUGAGUCAAUAAGUGUAUAAAUCAGUGAGUGACUCAAUCUGUGAAUAAAUCAGUGGGUGAGUCAAUUACCGAAUAAAUCAGUGGGUGAGUCAAUUAGUGAAUAAAUCAGUGGGUGAGUCAAUCUGUAAAUGAACUAGUAUGUGAGUCAAUUAAUGUAUAAAUCAGUAAAAGAGUCAAUUAGUGAAUGAAUUAGUGAGUGAGUCAAUCAGUGAGUGAAUCAGUAAAUGAGUCAAUGAGUGAAUGAACUAGUAUGUGAGUCAAUAAGUGUAUAAAUCAGUGAGUGACUCAAUCUGUGAAUAAAUCAGUGGGUGAGUCAAUUAGUGAAUGAAUCAGUGGGUCAGUCAAUUAGUGAAAAAGCUGGAUUUAGCAAAAUUAUACAAUUCUAUAAAAUACAAUUCAGAAUUUUUCAUUUAUUUAUGUUUAUUAUUAACAUCAUGUUAAAUUUGAAGAUGAUUUCAGAAGCAGCAGCAGUGUGGUGGUGAUCUCACUUGUCUGUCUCUGUGUCACAGCCUUGUUAUGAAAAGGCCAAGGCUUGGGUUCUAGACAACAUCACCUGGGUUCUGGGCUUCGGCAUGUGUCUUGGCAUUGUGCAGGUAAAUUCAUUUGUGAAAUUUCAUCCCUGUUAGAUGUUCCACAGUCGACUGUUAGUGACAUUAUUGGAAAGUGGAAACAUUUAAGAACAGCAGAAGCAGAAGACAUGUAAACUCACCGAGCGGUGACUCAGUGCUGAGGUGGAACAGGUUUUGUGGAAUGGGUCUCCAUGUCUGAGCAGCUGUAUGCAAGCCUCACAUCACCAAGUAGAAUGCGAACGUGUGGUGUAAAGCCAGUCGGCUCUGCACUGUCGAGUUACGCAGUCUGAUGAGUCGGCCUGACUUUGGUGGAUGCCAGGAGAACAUAAUCUGCCUGAGUGCACUGUAAACAUUGGUGGAGAAAAUUUCCAACGUUGAAACAGUUUGUGGAAGAAGAGAGUUUUCUGUACCACAAUGACUGAGCCUCAGUGCACAAAGUGUGGAAGAAUUUGUCUAUAACCCUGACCUCAACUCCAUCUGGAGAAGAGACUGUGAACCAUUCCUUCUUAUUCUACAUCUGUGCCUGACCUCAAAAAUGCUCUACUGGUUGAAAGGGCAAAUAUUCCCUCAGAAACACUCCAGAAUCUGGUGGAAACUCUGUCAAGAAAAGUUGAACCUCUUAUAACUGCAAAGCAGGGAACCAACUCCAAGCAGUGUUCAUCACUUUCUAGAUCAACAUUAUAAAUCAACUGAAUUAUAUUAGAGUUUUGUGAAAUGUGUAAAAGUAUAAAAAGGUAAUAUUUCAGUGUGACAGAUGAGGUGUAAGGUCCUGGUCUUGAGUUUUGCUUUUAAUACUGAACCCCAACACAAGCCAACACUUCAGUAUCUGAUAUUCAGAACCUCUGUCAGUGGCUUUUAUCAUGACUGAUAUUGAUUUCCUGAAAAUGACUUCACCUUUCCUGAUAAACACACAAACCUUCAGUGUGUGUAAUUUGUGGUUUGUAGAUGGACUCACAAGACUUUUCUUUUCCUCCCUCAGAUCCUGGCUCUGGCCUUCUCCAUGCUGAUGUACUGCCAAAUCCUGAGAGUGGAAAAGUACAUGGACUGAUCCUGAGCUUUAAUAAGAGCUAAGAGAAUUCCAGUGUACCAGGACGCCAAAUUCAACAAAACCCUGAUUUACUGGUUUUAGUUUAAUUUACUUCCAUGUUUUUCAGCUGAACUUUUCUACCUGUUUCUAUAGUUUAUUAAAGUCCACUUCCAUGCAGAUGAAGUGGUUUACUCCAAUACUGCACACUUUAGUUAUUAAUAAACUGUGUGUACUGAUCACAUGUAUUACUUUAAAUAUGUUGAGAAUGAUGAUGAAGUUGAGCUUAAUGAGCGUUCUGUAUGACGUGUUACUGUCUAAUAAAGUCUUGUCAAAUAUUAA